AUACGUAGGUGGCGAGCGUUGUCCGGAAUUACUGGGCGUAAAGGGUGCGUAGGCGGCUCUUUAAGUGAGGUGUGAAAGCCCUGGGCUUAACCCAGGAAUUGCACUUCAAACUGGAGAGCUAGAGUGCAGGAGAGGAAAGUGGAAUUCCCAGUGUAGCGGUGAAAUGCGUAGAGAUUGGGAGGAACACCAGUGGCGAAGGCGACUUUCUGGACUGUAACUGACGCUGAGGCACGAGAGCGUGGGGAGCAAACAGGAUUAGAUACCCUGGUAGUCCACGCUGUAAACGAUGAAUACUAGGUGUAGGGGGCGAAGCCCUCUGUGCCGCAGUUAACACAUUAAGUAUUCCGCCUGGGGAGUACGAUCGCAAGAUUAAA
rnacentral:rRNA from 1 species